rnacentral:vault_RNA from 10 species
AUACCGGCUUAGCCUAGUGGUUACUUCUAAAUGAAUACACUCUGUCCAGUGAUUCUGGGUUCACCACCCACCCCACACCACGGGCGCCGUCCGGUAUCUUU